GACGAACGCUGGCGGCGUGCCUAAUACAUGCAAGUCGAACGCAGUGGGGACGGGUGAGUAACACGUGGGUAACCUCCCAUCAGAGGGGAUAACACUUGGAAACAGGUGCUAAACCUAUACUGAUGGAUGGACCCGCGGUGCAUUUGCUAGAUGGUGGGGUAACUGCUGACCAAGGCCACGAUGCAUAGCCGUCCUGGGAGGGUGAUCGGCCAAAAUGGGAAUGAGCCACGGCCCAGAGCCCUGCGGGAGGAAGCAUUAGGGAAUCGUCGGAAAUGGAGGAAAGUCUGACCGAGCAACGCCGCGUGAGUGAAGAAGGUUUUCGGAUCGGAAAACUCUGUUGUUAGAGAAGCGGUAUCUAACCAGAAAGCCACGGCUAACUACGUGCCAGCCGCCGCGGUAAUUC
rnacentral:rRNA from 1 species